AACUUUCAACAACGGAUCUCUUGGUUCUAGCAUCGAUGAAGAACGCAGC
rnacentral:rRNA from 1 species